rnacentral:rRNA from 1 species
AUUGAACGCUGGCGGCAUGCCUAACACAUGCAAGUCGAACGAUGAUUAAGAGCUUGCUCUUAUGAUUAGUGGCGGACGGGUGAGUAAUGUAUAGGGAUCUGCCUGUUAGUGGGGGACAACAGCCGGAAACGGCUGCUAAUACCGCAUACGCUCUACGGAGGAAAGUGGGGGACCCUCGGGCCUCACGCUAUCAGAUGAACCUAUAUUGGAUUAGCUAGUUGGUAGGGUAAAGGCCUACCAAGGCGACGAUCCAUAGCUGGUUUGAGAGAAUGAUCAGCCACACUGGGACUGAGACACGGCCCAGACUCCUACGGGAGGCAGCAGUGGGGAAUAUUGGACAAUGGGCGCAAGCCUGAUCCAGCAAUGCCGCGUGUGUGAAGAAGGCCUUCGGGUUGUAAAGCACUUUAAGUUGGGAGGAAAAGCUGAGGGUUAAUAGCCUUUAGUGUUGACGUUACCAACAGAAUAAGCACCGGCUAACUCCGUG